rnacentral:tRNA from 1 species
GUUUAGAUAGCUUAACCAAAGCAUAGCACUGAAAAUGCUAAGAUGAGCCGUAAAAAGCCCUCCAAACA